AACGAACGCUGGCGGCAUGCCUAACACAUGCAAGUCGAACGAGACCUUCGGGUCUAGUGGCGCACGGGUGCGUAACGCGUGGGAACCUGCCCUUAGGUUCGGAAUAACUCCCCGAAAGGGGUGCUAAUACCGGAUAAUUUCUUCGGACCAAAGAUUUAUCGCCUUUGGAUGGGCCCGCGUUGGAUUAGCUAGUUGGUAGGGUAAAAGCCUACCAAGGGGACGAUCCAUAGCUGGUCUGAGAGGAUGAUCAGCCACACUGGGACUGAGACACGGCCCAGACUCCUACGGGAGGCAGCAGUGGGGAAUAUUGGACAAUGGGCGAAAGCCUGAUCCAGCAAUGCCGCGUGAGUGAUGAAGGCCUUAGGGUUGUAAAGCUCUUUUACCCGGGAUGAUAAUGACAGUACCGGGAGAAUAAGCUCCGGCUAACUCCGUG
rnacentral:rRNA from 1 species